AGAAUUGCGAAGUCACAGAUUGAAGCAGUGAUUGAGCACCUGGUGAGAAAGCAGGGCCAAUCCAGAGGAGCUCAGGUGCAUGCAAUGUACCUCAGUGAUUGGAAGGGGUGGAGACAGGGCCCACCCCUCCCCAGACCUCAUUUAAGGGCUGGCAAUGGAGCUGAGGGUAUUUUGCUGCCUAUCCAAGGCUUUCUAAAGAUUUUGAGGACAGCUGAAUACUGUCUGGCAUCAAGAAAGACAGUCACAUCAUGAAAAGUUCAGGGCCCCAUUCUGUUGUACCACAUUUUGGUUUCCUUGGUUGGUUGGAAACUACUAUUGGGACAGGCACCAUGUUGCUCAACAGUCAUCACUGCAAAUCUCCACAACUGCUUUUGGCAUCAUUGCAAAAAUUCUGAUUCUGUUAUGCUUUGAGUGAUUAAUGACGAGUUCCAGAGAUGUUCUUUGGUGAUUCUCAUGAGGCGUAAAGGAAUCAAUUGCCUCAGCAAUGUCUGGAAGCAGAGUAUGUCAGGGAUACAGUUUGCUUCCCUGAGUUUAUAAUUAAACAUCUUAUUGCAUUCAUUGCUGUAAAGUACUAAAUAUGUCCUGCAUCUGUUUGGCCUGAGCACUGCAAGUUUGCCUUAGCAAACUGACAGAGUUUAGUAAGAAAUUGGUCUUAACAACCACCAAAACUACAGGUUUUCUUAUGUUAUGAAGAAUACAAUUUAGCCUGACUAUAUAUGUUCAGUUUUUUAUAUGCAGUAGUAUAAAUCAGAAUACUCCAAAGCAACUAACUCCUGGAUACUAAUAAUUCGUCACUAAAAGUUUUAUUUUGAAUGCUAGGGAAAUGAGCAUGGAAAAUGGCCCUGAUUCUGCUCCACUGUAAAGCUAUGUCAGAAUAAUUCUAACAUUUGUACUAAAUCUUUCUCAGUGUCAACCUUACAGAUCAGUACAAUUGAGUAGAUAAUUAAUAUAUCCUUUCUUGAGAUUUACACUGGUGAAAAGGAGAGACAUUUUCUCUUGUAGUUUUGGUCAUCUCAGUUUCUAAAUGCAUGGGCUUCUGUGAAAAGAGUUUGGGCUUUUUAAUUAGACUUGAUUUGACUUUGAAAUUAAAAAUCAGGAAAGGUUCCACUUAAAGUGGAAACUUGCAGCCUGGAGCCCAGUGGUGUUAUUCUGGCUGAUGUUCUAUCUGAUAUGACUGUGGGGAAAAAUUGCUGCAUUGCCAUUCUCUCCUUGUCUGUGAGAGAAUGUCAUAUGUAUCUAUGUAUCUACAGUAUGAUGAUUCUGUUCCAAUGUUUCUUAGAGGAUUCUUUUGCUUAAACAUACUUUUGUAUCUCUAUUUUUCCAUUCUGGGGAAGUAUGCAUAACAAGAUAUUAUCACAGCAGUUCUUUGAGUUAGGGUAGCAAUUUCAUCAUGAAGAAGAAAUGGAGGAGAGAAGUCAAACGUCUUUUGAAGAGCUGUACUGGCAGAAUACAUCAGGACCUGACAACCAAGCCUGUGUUUCUUCUCAGCGCAUAGCUUGUUUCUGGUCCAUUUUGAAACUGGGGACAUUUGGAAGUAUCCAAAACCAAUUUUCACUGUGUACCAUCACACCCAAACUUCUGUUCAUCUCAGAGACUUGUUGCUACCUUUGCUCUCCCUCAGAGACCAAUGCUCUGUGCCUGAUUUCUCCACAGAUGUGACAUUUUUAUCAGCUCAUGGUAUUUUUCCUGUGAGUAAAGAAGUGAAGCAUUUUCUGUGGCUAUGUAGUCUUGAUGUUUUGUUUUUCCUGGUUUAACAGUAUUAUGUACAGGAAAGCCUGCAUUCUUUGAUGAGACAGGAAAAAGUUUAAGAAUGAAUGUGAAGAUAAGUUUGCAUUGCACUGGCUUCUGUUAAGACUAUCUUUAACCAUUAUUUUGAUAAAUAGUAAUUUGUAAUAAAAAGGUCCCAUUGCCUUUCUUCAGGCUUCCUGUUUCUACCUGCAUAUAUCCUAUCUUCUGAUUUACAGACGAUUUUGAGGCAGCUGAAGCAGCAGUCUGGCUGCUUCCUGGCCAAUGGUUCCUACAUUCCUGUCCUAAUAGCGUGCCACUUCCAACGCUACUUUAUCUGAUGUGUCAAUGGGCCAGG